rnacentral:tRNA from 1 species
GUUGGUGUGGUGGAGUGGUUAGCACACCCGACCGGAUAUUGGGAGGCCCGGAUUUCAAAUCCCGGCUCCGCCG